rnacentral:rRNA from 1 species
CCUACGGGAGGCAGCAGUGAGGAAUAUUGGUCAAUGGUCGCGAGCCUGAACCAGCCAAGUCGCGUGAGGGAAGACGGUCCUAUGGAUUGUAAACCUCUUUUGUCGGGGAGCAAAAGACGCCACGCGUGGCGUUCCGAGAGUACCCGAAGAAAAAGCAUCGGCUAACUCCGUGCCAGCAGCCGCGGUAAUACGGAGGAUGCGAGCGUUAUCCGGAUUUAGUGGGUUUAAAGGGUGCGCAGGCGGAAGAUCAAGUCAGCGGUAAAAUUGAGAGGCUCAACCUCGUCGAGCCGUUGAAACUGGUUUUCUUGAGUGAGCGAGAAGUAGGCGGAAGGAGUGGUGUAGCGGUGAAAUGCAUAGAUAUCACGCAGAACUCCGAUUGCGAAGGCAGCAUACCGGCGCUCAACUGACGCUCAUGCACGAAAGUGUGGGUAUCGAACAGGAUUAGAUACCCUUGUAGUC